rnacentral:rRNA from 1 species
UGGGGAAUAUUGCACAAUGGGCGCAAGCCUGAUGCAGCCAUGCCGCGUGUAUGAAGAAGGCCUUCGGGUUGUAAAGUACUUUCAGUCGGGAGGAAGGUGGUAAGGUUAAUAACCUUAUCAAUUGACGUUACCGACAGAAGAAGCACCGGCUAACUCCGUGCCAGCAGCCGCGGUAAUACGGAUGGUGCAAGCGUUAAUCGGAAUUACUGGGCGUAAAGCGCACGCAGGCGGUUGAUUGAGUCAGAUGUGAAAUCCCCGGGCUUAACCCGGGAAUUGCAUCUGAUACUGGUCAGCUAGAGUCUUGUAGAGGGGGGUAGAAUUCCAUGUGUAGCGGUGAAAUGCGUAGAGAUGUGGAGGAAUACCGGUGGCGAAGGCGGCCCCCUGGACAAAGACUGACGCUCAGGUGCGAAAGCGUGGGGAGCAAACAGG